UAGAGGUAAAUAUCAUAACGAAUAAUCAAAUGUUAUUUAUGUCUGUUUGAUAAUUAAAAUCAUUUAACAUUUUUAGGCCAAAUUUGAUUUCCCUGCAAAUAUAAAACAUUGGAUGCUGCAAUCUAUUGGUGUCAAGUGGCGCAAUUAUAAAACCAAUUUGAAAGCAGAACAUUGGGAUAGUAGACCAGUACAAGAGAUUAUGGAGGCUGUCCCUGCAGGAGUAGACCCAGUGCAGUGGUGCCAACUAGUUAAUAAGUGGUCACAACCCCAAGACAAGGAGAGGGCAGCAAAAAAUGCGGAAAAUGCAUAA